CCGGCCCGCCAGCAGCUGUGGGCUGUCAUCUCCAAGUGGCCCCUUUUUAAGCUUAGUAUUAUAACACAGUUAGGAUAGAGCCAUGGCUUUUUGUAAAAGAGAUUAUUAUGAGAUCUGAGGCUCAAUGAAUAAACUAUUGCAAGAAGAUAACAACAAAAUGACUCCUGCAUUGAAGACGAAUUCUUUACCACUGAGUCGCCGCAGAAGCCGGUGAGCUAGUGUUAGGACAAAACAAAUCCUGCAAGUCUUGUUUUAACUAUAAAAUGCAGAUAAAGUCACAGUAAAUUUAAUUUAAUAAUAAACUCAGAACAAUAAAGACAAACUUUAAAGACCAUUUGACCAUUUUUUCUUCUCUAGAAUCUUAAAACAUGAAUUUUGACUGAAGAUAAUGGAUCUGGAGACAGUGGUCCCAAGAGCCACCUCAGAGGACCAUGGAGAAGAAUAGCAUCAUAUCCACAGAACAUAAUCAUAAAUCCAGGUGGGUUCUUUACCAUGAGCGCUGCCCAGGAAGCCCACUGAUCUGACAUCUAUGAAAAAAGAAGAGGAAU